GACGAACGCUGGCGGCGUGCUUAACACAUGCAAGUCGAACGGAAAGGCCCUGCUUUUGUGGGGUGCUCGAGUGGCGAACGGGUGAGUAACACGUGAGUAACCUGCCCUUGACUUUGGGAUAACUUCAGGAAACUGGGGCUAAUACCGGAUAGGAGCUCCUGCUGCAUGGUGGGGGUUGGAAAGUUUCGGCGGUUGGGGAUGGACUCGCGGCUUAUCAGCUUGUUGGUGGGGUAGUGGCUUACCAAGGCUUUGACGGGUAGCCGGCCUGGGAGGGUGACCGGCAAUAUGGGGACGGAGAGACGGCCACUGCACCGAGGGGAGGCGGGGGUGGGGAAUAUAGCAGGAGGGGAGAAAGGAUGAUGCAGCAGCGCGGGGUGCGGGAUGACGGCUUGGGGGUGGUAAGCACUUUGCGGCGUGGAGGAGGCGUGGGUGAAGAUAAGGGGUAAAGAAGCACCGGAUAAAGACGGGCCAGCAGCCGCGAUAAUACGCGGAAGAGCACCCGUCUGAAC
rnacentral:rRNA from 1 species